AGAGUUUGAUCAUGGCUCAGGAUGAACGCUGGCGGCGUGCCUAAUACAUGCAAGUCGAACGAGGUGCUUUUGUAGCAAUACGAGAGUAUCCUAGUGGCGAACGGGUGAGUAACGCGUUGGUGACCUACCCCAAAGUGUGGGAUAACAGUCCGAAAGGAUUGCUAAUACCGCAUGUGGUCAUUGGAUUUAGAAACUGAUGACUAAAGGAGCAAUUCGCUUUGGGAGGGACCUGCGUCCCAUCAGCUAGUUGGUGAGGUAACGGCUCACCAAGGCGACGACGGGUAGGGGACCUGAGAGGGUGACCCCCCACAAUGGAACUGAAACACGGUCCAUACACCUACGGGUGGCAGCAGUAGGGAAUAUUGCACAAUGGGCGAAAGCCUGAUGCAGCAACGCCGCGUGUGUGAUGAAGGCCUUCGGGUCGUAAAGCACUUUUCUGGGAGAUGAGAAAGGACAGUAUCCCAGGAAUAAGUCUCGGCUAACUACGUGCCAGCCGCCGCGGUAAUUC
rnacentral:rRNA from 1 species